CAUGUGUCAUAUUGCCUGUUACUAGACAUGAUAUCAGGUAUUAUGCUUUUGAGGGUGGCUGUUGACAUGUACACUAUAUCAAUCAGGUAAGUUACCUAUUUACAAUAACAAUCAAUGAAAUGAAAACCACAAUACCAUCGCGCGGGGAUAUUUCGUGAUUUGCCUGGUAACAAUAAUAAAGUACACGCAAAAUUCACGUAUAACAUAAAUUUCAAAAAGAGCGCGAAAAUAUCCUGCCGAUAUCCUGCUGUUUUUGGACUGCGGUAAGUCUUUUUCAAAAUAAAAAACUUUAUAAAAUAUUAAACAUUUCAAAAUUCGCUCGAAUAAAUUAUAAUAUACUAUUCCACAGUCGACAAUUUGAUUUACCAAUUUACGCACAGAUAUUUUAGGGAGAAACUUCUGUAUCCUUUUUAUUGCAUUUUAAAAUUGGCAUGUUUUUCCAACGCCGACGCGUAUUGUCUUUUGUGUUUAACUUUUCUCAAUAAACUAAUGAAACUAUUGUAUUUCUUAUAUAUUUUACAGCUACAAAAGUCAUAAAUAUUAUUUAAAAAAAUAUCAUCUACAAGGAGAGAAAAAAUGGAAAAUGAAGAAGAAGUACUUGAAAUUGAAGUUGAUGCAGAGGGUGAUGAAGAUCUAAGAGAAGCAGAGCAACCUGCCGUGGCAGUGGAUGGGCCAGAAGAUCAUCCACUCCCUGCACCACAAGGGAGAGGCUUGCCCCCAGG